CGGGUGUGAGUAGAGUGGCGCACGGGUGAGUAAUACAUAGGAACGUACCUACGGGUGGGGGAUAACCAUUGGAAACGAUGGCUAAUACCGCAUAAUAUCGAGAGAUUAAAGGAGGCCUCUUCUUGAAAGCUUUCGCCGGUAGAUCGGCCUAUGUCCCAUUAGCUUGUUGGUGAGGUAAAGGCUCACCAAGGCGACGAUGGGUAGCUGGUCUGAGAGGAUGAUCAGCCACACUGGAACUGAGACACGGUCCAGACUCC
rnacentral:rRNA from 1 species